CCUACGGGAGGCAGCAGUGAGGAAUAUUGGUCAAUGGACGGGAGUCUGAACCAGCCAAGUAGCGUGGAGGAUGACUGCCCUAUGGGUUGUAAACUUCUUUUAUAUGGGAAUAAAAUGUUCCACGUGUGGGAUUUUGUAUGUACCCUAUGAAUAAGGAUCGGCUAACUCCGUGCCAGCAGCCGCGGUAAUACGGAGGAUCCGAGCGUUAUCCGGAUUUAUUGGGUUUAAAGGGAGCGUAGGUGGAUUGUUAAGUCAGUUGUGAAAGUUUGCGGCUCAACCGUAAAAUUGCAGUUGAAACUGGCAGUCUUGAGUACAGUAGAGGUGGGCGGAAUUCGUGGUGUAGCGGUGAAAUGCUUAGAUAUCACGAAGAACUCCGAUUGCGAAGGCAGUUCACUGGACUGCAACUGACACUGAGGCUCGAAAGUGUGGGUAUCAAACAGGAUUAGAUACCCCUGUAGUC
rnacentral:rRNA from 1 species